CUGUAGCAGUGUCCUGGGCAAUGCAGGAUAGAGAGAGAAAAAAGCCAAUCUACAAAGAUGUCAAGGGCACGCUUUGAAAUGAGACAGUGCUCGACUCUUGCUACAGCAAUAUAGGGAGAAAUACCCCUGGACGUUGGAUGCUAUUUUUCCACUGAGAAAGCUGAUCUUCAGAAAGCUGACAGCAUCUCUGCUUGGGAGUGGAAACAGACAUUUUCCGGCACCCCUGCUGCCAGAAAAUUACAGUAUUACACUGCUGCUUGCAAUAGGUUUCUUAACGCAGGAAUGAAACAGUGCAUUGUGUCACACUGUGGCAGGACCCAUCCACCUGAUGUCAGACAUGGAUAAAGACUUCAACAUCGCCCCUAUACGAAUAUUCAACCUAUUAAAUAUCCAGUAAUUUAUGGGUGAACUUUGUAAAUCAUAUUGUCAUGUUUAAUCUAUCCCAGCAAUGUGUAUUUUUACACAGAAUAUAUGCUCCCCUUAUUCUGGAGUUUAUUACGUUAUAGAUGAAUUACUCUCCUUUUAUGAUACACAUAAGCUCGAUAAUGCUGUAAGCAGUAAAGACAAGGUUUUAUGGAGUUUUUUUUUUCACUUAUAGGUUUAGAUCCACUCUAAACCUAUAAGUCUGAAAUAAGGAUAUAUUUUCAAGCAUUAUUUCACUACUACCAGACUCCUAAUUGUUGAUAAUAGACACUUGCAUAAGUGACAUCAUCAUUUGAAUUGAAAUGCGUAUCCUUGCAUCAAAGGCAGCUGCAUAUUUUCACUAUUAAAAAAUAUAUAGCUUUUGUGAGUUAAUUUUAUCCUUACCAGAGGUGGUAAAGAGUAUAUUGAUUAUAUGAUGAGGAUUGCUAUUUUAGUGUUAGAUAUCUGUUAUACUCUGGCAAAUAAAA